GUUAGCUCAGUGGCUAGAGCACCAGACUAAGCAUCUGGCUGUCACGGGUUCGACUCCCGUACCAACA
rnacentral:tRNA from 1 species